rnacentral:rRNA from 1 species
CAGUCGUACCGACGAGAAAUCAACCUUUCGAGUGCGAACCUGUGGACGUGCGUGAGUCUUUAACGGGCCUCGCUGUUUGCAAUGUUUGUGCUUUUGGGGUGUACUUUUUCGUAUGGUAGGCCAACGUCAGUUUCGAUCACCGUAAAAUGAUCGGAGGAAAAAAUAGGGGAAAUGUGGCCUUCGGGUGUGUUAUAGCCCUUGGUUGUAUACCGUGGUUGGGACUGAGGAUCUCAGGCCGCAAGGCUGGUAGGAUGCUGGCAUAAUGGCUUUAAUCGACCCGUCUUGAAACACGGACCAAGGAGUCUAACAUGUGUGCGAGUGUU